GACGAACGCUGGCGGCGUGCUUAACACAUGCAAGUCGAACGGAAAGGCCUCAGCUUGCUGGGGUACUCGAGUGGCGAACGGGUGAGUAACACGUGGGUGAUCUGCCUUGCACUCUGGGAUAAGCUUGGGAAACUGGGUCUAAUACCGGAUAUGAACUGCCUUUAGUGUGGUGAUUGGAAAGUUUUUUCGGUGCAAGAUGAGCUCGCGGCCUAUCAGCUUGUUGGUGGGGUAAUGGCCUACCAAGGCGUCGACGGGUAGCCGGCCUGAGAGGGUGUACGGCCACAUUGGGACUGAGAUACGGCCCAGACUCCUACGGGAGGCAGCAGUGGGGAAUAUUGCACAAUGGGCGGAAGCCUGAUGCAGCGACGCCGCGUGGGGGAUGACGGCCUUCGGGUUGUAAACUCCUUUCGACAGGGACGAAGCUUUUUGUGACGGUACCUGUAUAAGAAGCACCGGCUAACUACGUG
rnacentral:rRNA from 1 species